rnacentral:rRNA from 1 species
GAGUUUGAUCCUGGCUCAGGACGAACGCUGGCGGCGCGCCUAACACAUGCAAGUCGAACGAGCGAGAGAGAGCUUGCUUUCUCAAGCGAGUGGCGAACGGGUGAGUAAUGCGUGAGCAACCUGCCUUUCAGAGGGGGACAACAGUUGGAAACGACUGCUAAUACCGCAUGAUAUAUUCGGAUGGCAUCGUCUGAAUAUCAAAGAUUUAUCGCUGAAAGAUGGGCUCACGUCUGAUUAGUUAGUUGGUGAGGUAACGGCUCACCAAGACUGCGAUCAGUAGCCGGACUGAGAGGUUGAACGGCCACAUUGGGACUGAGAUACGGCCCAGACUCCUACGGGAGGCAGCAGUGGGGAAUAUUGGGCAAUGGGCGAAAGCCUGACCCAGCAACGCCGCGUGAAGGAAGAAGGUCUUCGGAUUGUAAACUUCUUUUAUCAGGGACGAAGUAAGUGACGGUACCUGAUGAAUAAGCCACGGCUAACUACGUGCCAGCCGCCGCGGUAAUAC